GGGCCGUUAGCUCAACUGGCAGAGCAACUGACUCUUAAUCAGUAGGUUCCAGGUUCGAUUCCUGGACGGCUCACCA
rnacentral:tRNA from 1 species